rnacentral:tRNA from 1 species
GCGUAGAGCGAAUUUCAAUCGAGCUGUUAGACCAAGGACCUUGCUCCGCAGAUAGCGAGUCAUGAGCGCAGCUUUCUGCCCUCCGAAGGCAGGGGUUGCUGGUUUGAUCCCAGCCGGGCGCGCCA